GAUGAACGCUGACAGAAUGCUUAACACAUGCAAGUCCACUUGAAUUUGGGUUUUUAACUUAGGUUUGGGUGGCGGACGGGUGAGUAACGCGUAAAGAACUUGCCUCACAGCUAGGGACAACAUUUGGGAACGAAUGCUAAUACCUAAUAUUAUGAUAAUAGGGCAUCCUAUAAUUAUGAAAGCUAUAAGCGCUGUGAGAGAGCUUUGCGUCCCAUUAGCUAGUUGGAGAGGUAACGGCUCACCAAGGCGAUGAUGGGUAGCCGGCCUGAGAGGGUGAUCGGCCACAAGGGGACUGAGACACGGCCCUUACUCCUACGGGAGGCAGCAGUGGGGAAUAUUGGACAAUGGACCAAGAGUCUGAUCCAGCAAUUCUGUGUGCACGAUGAAGUUUUUCGGAAUGUAAAGUGCUUUCAGUUGGGAAGAAAGAAAUGACGGUACCAACAGAAGAAGUGACGGCUAAAUACGUG
rnacentral:rRNA from 1 species